rnacentral:tRNA from 1 species
GACCGCUUCGGGCAGGGCGAGCAACCCGCGCGCUUCGCGCGCGCGCUUUCCUUCGUGAUCGUUCGGCUGCACCGACGGCUC